rnacentral:lncRNA from 1 species
GAGCAGAGGACGUCAAUGUCCCUUCAGCAGCUGCAGCUGUGUGGCUUGGGGAAUAGCAUCUGCCAUGUUCCUAGGCUCCUAAAGCAGACAGGCCACACUGGGCCCUGCUGCAAACACCAGGAUACUACCAAAGCCACUGCUCCAUCUCCCCUUUGACAAGCUACUGUGACCUUGAGGAAUGAUCUAGAACAACAACAGUGGCUUUCUGGGGAUCAUGAUUAUGUUUUAGUUACCACUAUGGUGCCCUAAAGAAUCCAACAGUGCAGGCCUCACACAGGACUUGCCAAGAUAAAGUCUGUAAGACUGAUUCAUCUAUAUGAAGGUAUAGCACAGAUCUAAAGGCACUGGACAACUUUGGGAUUGCUUUAUUUGUUCAAACAAAAUGGAAACAUUUUUUACAAUUAAUUUUGAAGCAAUAGCUUCUUUGUAUCUUUUUAAUAAAUUACUUUCACUCCAUGGUAAACCACGAUGUUAGGACACACGUGAAUUUGAAGUAAUCUUUAGCUUGUUCCACAUAAUGGAAGUCAUUGUUGAUCUUUUCUUUCAUAAUAAAACUCC